AUUGAACGCUGGCGGCAUGCCUAACACAUGCAAGUCGAACGAGUGGCGGACGGGUGAGUAAUUUAUCGGAACGUGCCCAAUAGAGGGGGAUAACUACUGGAAAGGUUGGCUAAUACCGCAUACUAUUGGAUCGACCGAUAUUGGAUUAGCUAGUUGGUGGGGUAAAGGCUCACCUAGGCGACGAUCCGUAGCUGGUCUGAGAGGAUGACCAGCCACACUGGGACUGAGACACGGCCCAGACUCCUACGGGAGGCAGCAGUGGGGAAUAUUGGACAAUGGGCGAAAGCCUGAUGCAGCCAUGCCGCGUGUAUGAAGAAGGCCUUCGGGUUGUAAAGUACUUUUGGCAGAGAAGCGGUAUCUGCAGAAUAAGCACCGGCUAACUACGUGCCAGCAGCCGCGGUAAUAC
rnacentral:rRNA from 1 species